UACGCACCUCGAGCUCCGCUCCCCUCAGCCUGGAGGCGGCGGCGGCGGCCCCUGCCGGUCGGUGGGAGCAGGCUCGACCCUCCCCGCUCCCUUCUCCCCCUCCCCGUGUUGCGCAGCCGCCGCCCGAGCCGCUCCGCCCGGUCCCGCAGCGGCCGCGGCGCCGCCGCCUCUCCCCUCACAGCCGGCCCCGCGCCGGGGGGCUCCGGAAAAUGGCGCCCGGGGAGAGGCAGCGGCCCCCGCGCCCCGCUCCCUGACUUUUGGGGAGCUGAGGGGGCGGCCUCGAGGGCCGGGGGGGCUCUGCUGGCCCCAGGGGGUGAGGGACCACCCUCAGGUUUUUGUCCCUGUCUUCAAGGAGCUCUCUGCUUGCUCCACGGAUGUCGCCUCCAGCCCCCCUCGGCACAGCUAAGCUGUAAAAGAGCUUUAUGUCCAUGUUCAGGAGUUUGUUCUCCACACUAUUACCUCCUGUCAUGGGUUUUUGUGCUUGUGGCCAGCAGAACUAAUUAUCCCAGCCUGAUCCAUUAACAUGGUCCGAGCCAAGCUAAGAUGUCUGCAGAAUCAGUCACCACAAAAAACAGGAGUGAUGAUGAUGGUCGCUCUGAAUUUCAGUGCAAGUCACUCGUCCCUACCAGGAACAGGAGGAUCUAUGGGUCUGCAUGGGUUCAGAAAUGAUGGAUCAUCUUUGGACACCGUUGCUGUCAAACAUGCAGACGAGAAGUAGUAACUUCAUUAGGUAGCAGAAAUACCACAAGGCUUCCAACUGGGGGAAAGCUAAGCAAGCCUGCUUCUGGAGCUCAAACUCCUGGAAGGAAAAAAUGUGAUGCCAGAGGCAACUCCCAUCUGAAUCCCCUACAGGUUGGGAAAGCUGAUGGUGAAGGUUCUGGUCCCUGUAAGAGACACAGAGCUUCCUACCGAGCUUCUCAAUUACAUUUCUGGAGUUAAACUGUUGGCAUGAUCAAGCACAAACAUAAAAAACAGAAGCAGGACA